rnacentral:rRNA from 1 species
CCCUUUUUUGCGAUGUUUGUUUUUUUUCAGUUAACUGCAGCGACGAGAGACUUCGGGUCUCUAGUGGCGAACGGGUGAGUACACGUAGGGAACCUGUCCGCGCACCGGGAAUACGCUCUGGAAACGGAGAACAACUCCCGAUGUACAGGAAGGAGGCAUCUUCUUUCUGUGAAACAUCCUUUAGGGGAUGGGGCGCGGAUGGACCUGCGGUGCAUUAGUUGGUUGGCGGGGUAAAGGCCCACCAAGACGAUGAUGCAUAGCCGGCCUGAGAGGGCGGACGGCCACAUUGGGACUGAGACACGGCCCAGACUCCUGCGGGAGGCAGCAGUAGGGAAUUUUCGUCAAUGGGCGCAAGCCUGAACGAGCGAUGCCGCGUGAGUGAAGAAGGCCUUCGGGUCGUAAAGCUCUGUUGCGGGGGAAAAAAGGCAGCAUCAGGAAAUGGGUGCUGACUGAUGGUGCCCCGCCAGAAAGUCACGGCUAACUACGUGCCAGCAGCCGCGGUAAUACGUAGGUGGCGAGCGUUAUCCGGAAUGAUUGGGCGUAAAGGGUGCGCAGGCGGUCCUGCAAGUCUGGAGUGAAACGCAUGAGCUCAACUCAUGCAUGGCUUUGGAAACUGGAGGACUGGAGAGCAGGAGAGGGCGGUGGAACUCCAUGUGUAGCGGUAAAAUGCGUAGAUAUAUGGAAGAACACCAGUGGCGAAGGCGGCCGCCUGGCCUGUUGCUGACGCUGAGGCACGAAAGCGUGGGGAGC